rnacentral:sRNA from 12 species
UAUGGCCAGACAAAGUAAACCGGGCGACCGGUCGAAAUCAGCGCCUUUAUGGAAGGAGUGGACGACCUUCCCGAAAGGGUAAAUUCGCGCCUCGACGCAAGCGGGCGAACGCUUCUUGCAUGGCGUGUGCCGGAGUAAAACACGUUUCAUGCCCGAUCUUGCUACGCAGUUUAGACGCUCCCCUACAAGAAAUUGUGCGAGGUGUACUUUUUUAUUAUGAACAGU